GGGCACAAGCCCGUUUGGGAGCCCACCUCGACAGCUCCUCAUCCCACGUAUAAUAACUGUUCACCCACGCCAUAUUGAAUUUACAAUCCUAGAUCCGAUGUCACGGAAAAAUGCCUAGAGGCCGAUUUAGGGCUCAUUCUCGUGGUGGAGUAGAUCUCAAGAAAAAUACGGCGAUUUAGGGUUCGUUGCCAUGGUGGAGGCUCCAUCGCUCCAGCAGGGGCAAGAGAUCGAGCAGUUGCCUGUGAAACCGCUUGGCAUGCAGCGGCGGCGUGCGAAGGAUCUGGUCGUUUCCAGUGACGUAUAGGUGGAGCCAUGGAUGUUUAGUUCUCACGGUGCCCUUGCAUUGGGAUGGAUCUACUAUCUGUAUUUGAUGAUUUGUUCUGUUGAUUCAUAAUUAAAUGGUGUUUUCUCUGUUUUUUUUUUUGCGAAAGUUAAAUGGUGUUUUCUCAUAUAUCUGAGUCUUCCUUCAGUUGCUGAACUCGUGAAAAGAAGGCACGAAUAUUCUGAACCUUUGCAGUCAUGGAAAUAAGGAGCGGAUCGAUCUCCUGAACUUUUGCACUAUAUGAGUAUUUUCCAAAUCACUUAAUUACAGUAAAGGUGUGAGAAUAAAGAUGGUGGGCGGUAUCAGGAAGUUACAGGCGGUGUACAAACAAACGGCCUCGAAAGCUAAAGGGUUGGUAACGGGUGGAGGCAAAGGUAAGGGUGGAGCAGGAGGAGCAGGAGGAGGAGGACGACGAGGUCGAGGGGGACGAGGACGGCGGGGUCGUGAGCCUACCCCACCACCGUCGCCACCGCCUCAGGAGGAGGACAUGGACGAGGACGAGGACGAGGACAAGGAGGAGCAGCAGCAGGAGGUGC